UACAGAGGUCCCAAGCGUUGUUCGGAUUCAUUGGGCGUAAAGGGUGCGUAGGUGGCGCCGUAAGUCAGGUGUGAAAUUUCGGAGCUUAACUCCGAAACUGCAUUUGAUACUGCGGUGCUUGAGGACUGGAGAGGAGACUGGAAUUACGGUGUAGCAGUGAAAUGCGUAGAGAUCGUAAGGAAGACCAGUGGCGAAGGCGGGUCUUGGACAGUUCCUGACACUGAGGCACGAAGGCCAGGGAGCAACGG
rnacentral:rRNA from 1 species